rnacentral:rRNA from 1 species
AGCGAACGCUGGCGGCAGGCCUAACACAUGCAAGUCGAACGAACUCUUCGGAGUUAGUGGCGGACGGGUGGGUAACACGUGGGAACGUGCCUUUAGGUUCGGAAUAACUCAGGGAAACUUGUGCUAAUACCGAAUGUGCCCUUCGGGGGAAAGAUUUGUCGCCUUUAGAGCGGCCCGCGUCUGAUUAGCUAGUUGGUGAGGUAAAGGCUCACCAAGGCGACGAUCAGUAGCUGGUCUGAGAGGAUGAUCAGCCACAUUGGGACUGAGACGCGGCCCAAACUCCUACGGGAGGCAGCAGUGGGGAAUCUUGCGCAAUGGGCGAAAGCAUGACGCAGCCAUGCCGCGUGAAUGAUGAAGGUCUUAGGAUUGUAAAAUUCUUUCACCGGGGACGAUAAUGACGGUACCCGGAGAAGAAGCCCCGGCUAACUUCGUG